rnacentral:rRNA from 1 species
UACGAAGGGGGCUAGCGUUGCUCGGAAUCACUGGGCGUAAAGGGUGCGUAGGCGGGUCUUUAAGUCAGGGGUGAAAUCCUGGAGCUCAACUCCAGAACUGCCUUUGAUACUGAGGAUCUUGAGUACGGGAGAGGUGAGUGGAACUGCGAGUGUAGAGGUGGAAUUCGUAGAUAUUCGCAAGAACACCAGUGGCGAAGGCGGCUCACUGGCCCGUAACUGACGCUGAGGCACGAAAGCGUGGGGAGCAAACAGG